rnacentral:rRNA from 1 species
CAGAGUGGAGCAUAAUCCCGCGAAAGCGGGACUAAUUCUCCAUAUUUUCCACUUGCAUAAGCAGGUGGAACAAAGGCUUCGGUCGCUCUGGGAAAGACUUUUGUCCUAUCAGUUAGUUGGUGAGGUAAUGGCCCACCAAGACGAUGACGGGUAGGGGGUGUGAGAGCAUGACCCCCCACAUGGGAACUGAGACACGGUCCCAACUCCUACGGGAGGCAGCAGUCUAGAAAUUUGCGCAAUGUCCGAAAGGGUGACGCAGCGACGCCGCGUGAGGGAUGAAGUCCUUCGGGAUGUAAACCUCUGUUGAGGGGGACGAUAAUGACGGUACCCCUCGAGGAAGCCUCGGCUAACUCCGUGCCAGCAGCCGCGGUAAUACGGAGGAGGCAAGCGUUGUUCGGAAUCACUGGGCGUAAAGGGUGUGUAGGUGUCCUAAUGGGUCAGUUGUGAAAUCCAACAGCUCAACUGUUGAAUUGCAUCUGAAACUAUUGGGAUUGAGGACAUGAGGGGAGAGUGGAACUCGCGGUGUAGCGGUAGAAUGCGUGGAGAUCGCGAGGAAUGCCGAUGGCGAAGGCGGCUCUCUAGUAUGUUCCUCGUUAGAGGAGCCGAUUAAUUUUAAUCUGCCUCUGGCGGAUUAUUGUCAGUCGGUCCUGACACUGAAACACGAAAGCUGGGGGAGCGAACGGGAUUAGAUACCCCGGUAGUCCCAGCCUUAAACGAUGUGCACUUGGCAUACGUCACAAAGUGGUGUGUGCCGAAGGUAACCUGUUAAGUGCACCGCCUGGGGAGUACGCUCGCAAGGGUGAAACUCAAAGGAAUUGACGGGGACCCGCACAAGCGGUGGAGGAUGUGGUUUAAUUCGAGGCAACGCGAAGAACCUUACCUGGGCUUGACAUGCUGAUAGUACUGAACCGAAAGGCAAGGGAUUCCACCUCUGGUGGAAAGUCAGCACAGGUGCUGCAUGGCUGUCGUCAGCUCGUGCCGUGAGGUGUUAGGUUAAGUCCUGCAACGAGCGCAACCCCUGCCCUUAGUUGCCAUUUUGUCUUCGGAUGAAGGCACUCUAAGGGGACUGCCGCAGAUAAUGUGGAGGAAGGUGGGGAUGAUGUCAAGUCAUCAUGGUCUUUAUGCCCAGGGCCACACACGUCCUACAGUGCCUUUUACAAUGGGAAGCUAAACCGCAAGGUGGAGCAGAUCCCACAAAGAAGGGCAUGGUUCGGAUUGAGGGCUGCAAUUCGCCCUUA